AUAAGCGGAGGAAAAGAAACUAACAAGGAUUCCCCUAGUAACUGCGAGUGAAGCGGGAAAAGCUCAAAUUUAAAAUCUGGCGGUCUCUGGCCGUCCGAGUUGUAAUCUAGAGAAGUGUUAUCCGCGCUGGACCGUGUACAAGUCUCCUGGAAUGGAGCGUCAUAGAGGGUGAGAAUCCCGUCUUUGACACGGACUGCCAGGGCUUUGUGAUGCGCUCUCAAAGAGUCGAGUUGUUUGGGAAUGCAGCUCAAAAUGGGUGGUAAAUUCCAUCUAAAGCUAAAUAUUGGCGAGAGACCGAUAGCGAACAAGUACCGUGAGGGAAAGAUGAAAAGAACUUUGGAAAGAGAGUUAAACAGUACGUGAAAUUGCUGAAAGGGAAACGCUUGAAGUCAGUCGCGUUGGCCGGGGAUCAACCUUGCUUUUGCUGGGCGUACUUUCCGGUUGACGGGUCAGCAUCAAUUUUGACCGUUGGAUAAAGUCCAGGGGAAUGUGGCAUCUUCGGAUGUGUUAUAGCCCUUGGUCGCAUACAACGGUUGGGAUUGAGGAACUCAGCACGCCGCAAGGCCGGGUACUUGUACCACGUUCGUGCUUAGGAUGCUGGCAUAAUGGCUUUAAUCGACCCGUCUUGAAACACGGACCAAGGAGUCUAACAUGCCUGCGAGUGUUUGGGUGGAAAACUCGGACGCGUAAUGAAAGUGAAAGUUGAGAUCCCUGUCGUGGGGAGCAUCGACGCCCGGACCAGACCUUUUGUGACGGAUCCGCGGUAGAGCAUGUAUGUUGGGACCCGAAAGAUGGUGAACUAUGCCUGAAUAGGGUGAAGCCAGAGGAAACUCUGGUGGAGGCUCGUAGCGAUUCUGACGUGC
rnacentral:rRNA from 1 species